GGCUCCGAGGUGUUAUCACGCUAGAUUGCAAAUCUAGAGUAGCAGGCAAACCCCUGCCGGAUCUU
rnacentral:tRNA from 1 species